UCUCCGUUGGUGAACCAGCGGAGGGAUCAUUAUCGAGUUUAUAACUCCCAAACCCUACGUGAACUUACCACUUGUUGCUUCGGCGCGCGCUUCGGUGCCGCCGAGGACACUUAAACUCUUUGCUUUUAUAAGCAUUUCUGAGUGGCCGAAAGGCAAAAUACAAAUGAAUCAAAACUUUCAACAACGGAUCUCUUGGUUCUG
rnacentral:misc_RNA from 1 species